CUUUUUCGUGGUUUUAUGGAACCCGAUGGAAGUUAAAGGGUGCUACACCUAUGUGUUUCAAGGCGGCGUAGCUGCAACUACCGCCUGCAGAUGGCGCAGUUCUCCUGCCAACGGUCACUUCCUCUGAAGGAGACAAAGAUGGUUCUGCACUCUUUGGUAGGUGUUUUUUUUUAUGAGUUACCCCAUUGAAACUGGAAGAUCCUGGGAGGAGAAGCAGAACCUGCCGAGACUGCAGCAUGGUCCACCGUGGAUCUCUUCACAGGUCAUUGGACUCCAGAUAAGAAGUUUCAUUUCACACCCAUAAGCCACCUUCAAGACGUGGAAUGCUGAAAUGUCUCAUGAUGAGCAUGAAAGAAAGACCGAGUUCUUCCAGGGACAAACACAUUUUGAAAAGUGGAGCCAUACUUUCUAGCGCUUUCUGUCAGCCAUGCUUUGGUGACGAUACCAGCAGCUACUGACGUCAUAACCCUCUUGUGCGUGCUAUGCUGUGUUCAUGUCCGGCAUGGAAAAUCGCCCACUCUUCCACUCCCUCAGUGUCACGAUGAUGCAUUUAGGUACCGAAACAUGGUACCGUUUGAUUUUACAUGGUACAUUUGAAUAGGUACUCGGUAGUACUGACAGAAUUCAAUCGGUACCUAUAAAAGUACUGAAUUCGGUACCCAUCCCUACCUGUGCUAUUAAACAGCCAUCAGCUUCGAAGAGAUUUUCAUGUGGACUCUCUUCUGAACUUCCUGAAUCAGCGCUCAGAGUCACACUGCUUCUUUAGGGUUUAAGACAGUGAACACUGAGCUUUUUUCUAUUAUCUUGUGCAUAAUAAAAACCACUCCACCAUCUGUUAUUCUAGCUUUAUUUACAUUCUACAUUACUAAAACCAGCCGCCACAGACAGUUUCUUCCCCCAGGCUGUUUCUCUGAUGAACAUUUAAUAGAGUACAAAACAACC